GACGAACGCUGGCGGCGUGCUUAACACAUGCAAGUCGAACGAUGAAGCUAGAGCUUGCUCUGGUGAAUUAGUGGCGAACGGGUGAGUAACACGUGAGUGACCUGCCCCGAACUCUGGGAUAACUGCUGUAAACGGUAGCUAAUACUGGAUACGACCUACGAAGGCAUCUUCUGUAGGUGGAAAGAAUUUCGGUUCGGGAUGGACUCGCGGCCUAUCAGCUUGUUGGUGAGGUAAUGGCUCACCAAGGCGACGACGGGUAGCCGGCCUGAGAGGGUGACCGGCCACACUGGGACUGAGACACGGCCCAGACUCCUACGGGAGGCAGCAGUGGGGAAUAUUGCACAAUGGGCGCAAGCCUGAUGCAGCAACGCCGCGUGAGGGAUGACGGCCUUCGGGUUGUAAACCUCUUUUAGUAGAGAAGAAGCGAAAGUGACGGUACCUGCAGAAAAAGCACCGGCUAACUACGUGCCAGCCGCCGCAGUAA
rnacentral:rRNA from 1 species